rnacentral:rRNA from 1 species
UACGAAGGGGGCUAGCGUUGCUCGGAAUCACUGGGCGUAAAGCGCACGUAGGCGGAUCUUUAAGUCAGGGGUGAAAUCCCAAGGCUCAACCUUGGAACUGCCUUUGAUACUGAGAGCUUGAGUCCGGGAGAGGUGAGUGGAACUGCGAGUGUAGAGGUGAAAUUCGUAGAUAUUCGCAAGAACACCAGUGGCGAAGGCGGCUCACUGGCCCGGUACUGACGCUGAGGUGCGAAAGCGUGGGGAGCAAACAGG